UUUUUUUUUGUCCUUUGUUUCUUGUCAAAACUUUGUAGAUAUUACUCAUUAUUGAAGCAGACCGCCCCCCGCCCCCAGUGUGGACCUCAGGUGGGAGAGUCCAAGACUGUCUUCCAGGUUGACUAAAUUUUCCUUAUGACCCAGGGUUGAUGUAAAUUGACUAAGCCUUCAAUUCUCUGCAACCAAUGGUGAGGAUUCCCCAAGGCAAAGUCUCUCCUCCCCUGUUGCUACAGAAACAGACUAUUUGCUACAACUCUGGCUUGCCUGAGUCCUGAGCCAGCAAGAGCUCAUUCCACAGCACCUGCACCCGUUUACUGCUGUUGCACGCAAGGCCUCUGUGUAUUCUGCAUCUGGGUGUGCCCCUCCCCUUCGGGAGGAGUAUUUUUCAGGCUGUACCGAAGACUGCAGCACUACGUCCUUGAUCUACUUCCUCCCGCCACGUCUCUGCUGAAGCUCCAUUGCUUUUGGCAACUCUUCCACCUGUUUUGUGGUUUACUUGUCUCCUGCUUUCACUAAAAAUGGAAUUUGUGUUUUUAUCUCUCAAUUCCUUUUUGUUUUUGGAUUACUUCCAGAAAAUGAAGAGAGGAUUACUAACUUUAUGCCAUCUUCAAAUCAGAAGUUCUUAGAUUAGUAAGAUCACGUUGGCUGUGGCAUGGAGAGUGGGCUGGAGGUGGAGAGACUGGAGAUUGGAAGUCCAGUUAGGAGAUUUUUUUUCCUGCACUGGGGAGUUGGUGUUAGGACAGGGAAUCCAAGAUCCAAGAUGCAUUUCAGAGCCUGUCAGAGACUGAAGGAGUUCCUUGUUCCGCAGAAGAGAGGUAAGAGAAGCCUUUGUCUAUAAAAAUGCAGAUGCCUGAUACAGAAGACUGAAAACACACAGCCGCGGAUCUGUUUCCACAUGUGUGCAUUUGCCACUGAUCUGCUGCUGUCUCUACCGAGUCACAGAUGGCUAAUAAAGUUUGUGAGCCCUUUAAAGCCAAA